UACGGAGGAUGCGAGCGUUAUCCGGAUUUAUUGGGUUUAAAGGGUGCGUAGGCGGGCUUUUAAGUCAGCGGUAAAAAUUCGGGGCUCAACCCCGUCCGGCCGUUGAAACUGGGGGUCUUGGGUGGGCGAGAAGAAGGCGGAAUGCGUGGUGUAGCGGUGAAAUGCAUAGAUAUCACGCAGAACCCCGAUUGCGAAGGCAGCCUUCCGGCGCCCUACUGACGCUGAGGCACGAAAGUGCGGGGAUCGAACAGG
rnacentral:rRNA from 1 species